UCUUCCGUAGCUUCCGUUUUUUCACAAAUCGAAAAAGAUAUCACUAAAGAUAUUGACAAUAAUCCCAUUGAUUAACAUACACAUCUUUAUCCGAUUUUUAGGAUUUUGGAUAAGGAAAACCUCAAAGAUCCUCUCUAAUGGCCGACUCUAAGAGAUUACAAGAGGCACGACGACUAAAAUGGAUGAAGAGAGAAGAUCCAAGCAUAUACAUGACCCUAACAGCAUGCAAAACCUUCCUCAAGUAUAGAAUAGAACUACAGAUCUGAUUGACAAAUCUGGUCGUCGGCCAUUGCUAUUAACCAGUGUCGGCGGAAUGGUAGCAUCGUUGGUGCUUCUUUCCACCAGCCUCACAAUCAUCGACCACUCAGAACACAAAUGACAACACAUUUUGUAUUUUAUUUUGCUUAUUUUGUAUUUCAAUAUCACAUAUUGUAACACAUGAAACCUCCCGGCUAAGAAUUGAACUAUCUAUAUGUGUACGCAGAUCCAAACCUGAUGAAACUUAAUUGUUCAUAUGUAUUAAGAUCAACUCUUUAGUGUCGGAUUGCAUUAGACAUGAACUAAGGUUAUACGAAACUCCUAGCACAAAGUUGAGUUGAAAGUCAUGUCCUUACCGAUUGAGUUUUGGUAUAAGUUUUUACUAGGGUCAGAUUCAAAUAAGCACCCCUCCUAGAAUA